rnacentral:siRNA from 1 species
ACCACGAGGCGCUGUCUACGA